rnacentral:rRNA from 1 species
AUUGAACGCUGGCGGCAUGCCUUACACAUGCAAGUCGAACGGUAACAGGUCUUCGGAUGCUGACGAGUGGCGAACGGGUGAGUGAUACAUCGGAACGUGCCUAGUAGUGGGGGAUAACUACUCGAAAGAGUGGCUAAUACCGCAUGAGAUCUACGGAUGAAAGCAGGGGAUCGAAAGACCUUGUGCUACUAGAGCGGCCGAUGGCAGAUUAGGUAGUUGGUGGGAUAAAAGCUUACCAAGCCGACGAUCUGUAGCUGGUCUGAGAGGACGAUCAGCCACACUGGGACCGAGACACGGCCCAGACUCCUACGGGAGGCAGCAGUGGGGAAUUUUGGACAAUGGGCGCAAGCCUGAUCUAGCAAUGCCGCGUGCAGGAUGAAGGCCUUCGGGUUGUAAACUGCUUUUGUACGGAACGAAAAGCCCUGGGUUAAUACCCUGGGGUCAUGACGGUACCGUAAGAAUAAGCACCGGCUAACUACGUGCCAGCAGCCGCGGUAA